GAGAAAUGUGUGUAUGUGUGUGCACACGCACGUGCAUACACCUGCACAUGCAAAUACAAAGUAACGUUUUGGUGCAUGGGGUAGAAACCCCAGGAGCACACAACUUUUGAGCUGUAAUCUAGAGGGUUACCUGGUCAUUAGGAAGGAGAGAAACCCCAACCCUUUCUUGAUUUCAGAAACACUUAGGUGUAGUGUAUACUAGAGUAGACCUGUAGUACUAUAGUGUAGUAAUAUUCAUCUCUCAUUUUGGUUGCCUUUCAGAUUCGUAAUGCUUGGGAUCAUUCUUAGCAUCCCAACCUCUUAAGGCUCUCUAUCUAGCAGUUUCCUGGUUCUGUACCUUUAUCCCGGCUCUUUCUCAUUUGGGGAACUACCAAGAGCUCCAAGGACGGCCUGAGAAUGAUAGCCCAGGCUCUGAGGUCCCCUCCUGCUAAAGGGGCCCAGACAAAUACUUUUGGAGAGACCUGAAGUUUCUGAGACAUAGCAGCUCACAAAAAUCUUCACCUAUUCCAUCUGAGAAUUUCAGUUUUAAAGCAAUCCAGGCAUGUUUGGUAAAGAUGUUUUCGUGGGAGUUUUUUCUUUUAAAAAAGAAAGCAUUAUUGUGAAGAGAGUCACUUUUAAGGGCAUUUUAAAAUUUUUAAAUCCAUUCUUAGGCUCUUUUUGAAAACUAUUUGUGGAUACUUUGUUUACAUUGUGAUAAUUAAAACGUGCAUCAUCUUGACAGCCACUGAGUCCCCUCGUCCAGGCACCCAGCCCCGGCUGUCCUGUGAGUCCUCAAACAGAGCAGGGCCACUGUGGCCAGCCCUCAGGGGUGAAUGAGGAGGACCUGGAGCUGACUCCCAUCUGUCCUGCACUCCUGUUCAGCACUCUGUGUGGAAAUAGCCCUUUCCUCAGUCAGUGAUGGCGUGUCUUACAGUGAUGGUUAUAAUGGUGAAUGGCUAGUGUCAUUUUUGUCUAAUUUUGUUUUGCUUUUUGAUGGUAGAUGAAAUUUUAGCUCUUUCAGCACCAAUGCAACUUGAAGGUAUCUUGGACUUUGUUUUCCCUUCCAGACUAGAAGAUCAAGGCAUAUAUUAGGCAUAAAUGUACUUGCUGCCUCAACUCUUCUGACACUCAUAUUAGGAAAAAGCCCACCCCCAAAGCAGGAUGCUGCAUGCUCCUCACUCCUGUUCCAGGGCUUUGAGGUCCCUUGAUGCCAUGAAGAGCUAUUGCAAGGUGCUUCUGUACUUUUCCAGCCUGGAAGUGGAGGGUGACCGGGCCUGGCUCUUGCUAUGAAAAGAAAACCAGCCUCAUUUUCUCAGUGCCCCAGAGAUCAGGACAGGAUUUCUAAACUAGAGUCAUCCAUUAGCUUGAAGAUGCCUCAAAGGGUCUAUGACUAGUGCUAGUCAUCUGUGUCCUCACAGCGACACUGGUGGCAGCAUCCUCCGUGCACAUGCAGAGCUAAUACCCAGGGCUUAAUUGAAGCUGAUGACUCAAUCUGGAAACUGGGUAACUGGCCCUGAAAUGAUUCUCAGUCAACAGGCCUGCAGGCAAUUGUUUGGUUUUUCUGUUUUGGGGGGGUUUUGGUUUGCCUGGCAUAGCUUAAGGUGCCUUUUAUUUUUUUUUCUUCCUACUUUAUUUCAUAGGACUUGUUCUAAAUGUAGAACGCAAGUCCAAAAGACUCCCACUGACUGUUAACUUUGCCCCAGGCCAGUCCCAAACUUUUAUGCUCACAUUUUAUUAAAUAAAGCAGGUGCUCCCUGGAAUCUCUGGGACCUUUUUGAGGCAUUUGAAGCAGAAUAUAGAGUGGUCUCAUCUCCUUCCUUAAUCUUCCUGGUGGUUGGGAUGUUCCACUUGUAUUAUAGAUUUUUUUUAUUACUGAUGUGCUCUGCUGUUUUUAAAUGUGAACUUGUGCGCAAAUGUGCAGAUUCAAUGUUCUUGUUACAGAUUAAAUAAAUUUUUAUUUUGAAGA
rnacentral:lncRNA from 1 species